UGUGUAGGGAGCCUAGGUCCAGCU
rnacentral:piRNA from 1 species